ensembl:lncRNA
AGAGAAAUUGGAACCCUCUGUUCAUUGCUGGUAGGAGUAUAAAAUAGUUCAGCUUUAUGGAGAGCUGUUUGACCAUUCCUCAAAAAGUUAAAAAUAGAAUUUCCAUAUGAUCUAGCAAUUCAGCUCCUAGGUAUAUACCCCAAAGAACUGGAAACAGGUACUCAGACAAAUAUGUGUAUACACGUUUGUAGCAGCACCACUGACAAUUGCCAAAAGAUGGAAACAGCACAAAGGCCCAUCAGUGGAUGAUCAGAUAAACAAACUGGGAUAUACAUGUAAUUGAAUAUUAUCCAGUCUUAAAAAGGAAUGAAGUGCUGAUCCACGCCACAAUGUGGAUGAACCUUGAAAACAUUUAUGCUAAGUGCCAGAAGUCAGUUACAAAAGGUCACAUACCCUAUGACUUCAUUUAUAUGAAAUAUCAAAAAUAGGUCAAUAGCCUGCCAGGGACUGAGGGGAGAAGAGGAUGUGAAGAAAGCAUUUCAAUAGGUAGGAGGUUUUAUUUUGGAUUGAUGGAAAUGUUUUGGAAACAGACCAAGGUGGCUAGGAUCUAGCCACCUACAUAUCAGGAAUGUACUAAAUGCCAUUGAAUUGUACACUUUACAUAGUUAAUUUUACGUUGCACGGAUUUCCCCUUAAUUUUUUUAUUGUAAGUGAAGCUACUCAGAAAUAUCAGAUUACUGACCAUCUCAACUCACCCCAUGGACCCCAAAUCCUGGAAACAACUUAGGUCAAUCCUCAGGGCCUGGGUAGCAAUUUCAUCCAUGCUUAAUUUGAUCUAGUGCUCCUGGUAGUUUGGAAGCUCUAGAAAACAGACCGGGAAAAUUCUCAAGAUGUUAGCUCACACCAGUCUCUAGUGCUCCCUUUUAAAUCCUGGGGGGUGGGGGGAUGCCGGAACCUAAAACUGCAAGACAGGAGAUUGUCCUCGAAGCGAACGCACUACCGCCCCAUGGUGCGCAAAGCCCUCUCACAGUACAGGUGCGGCCUCCACUCCCUCAGGUCAGUGCUCAGUCCACUGUCAGCUUCAUUCCCCGGUCCCUGCGGCUCCCGGUGGGAAGCCCGGCCCCUCGCCUACGCGGUGCCCGGGCUCCAGUGCGGCCGGACUUGGACCCGGGAGCCAGGCGUCGCCGACGGGGCGGGGCCGGGGCGGGCCGGGGGCGGGGCCUGCGCCGGCACCGGGUCUGCCGGGCGCUGGGCCAGCCGCGUAAACACCGCUGGAGCGGCGCGGCGGAGCAGUAUUGCAGAGUACCUUCAGGCUUCAAUUCCAGCUUAGAAGCCAGAGGAAUCCAUCCCAGCUGCUCUGUUCUCCUUCAGGAGCCAGGUAAUAAGAGGGGUCAGGAGAAGGUGUGAAAGCGGCUUCCCAAGGUCCCCGAGUUCAGUGAGAGGGGAUGUGGGAGAAGGCAGCAUGGAAGAAUAUCUGUCUAAAUGCUGAUACUUGUUAUUUCCCUUUAAAAAUUAAUAGCUUUACGACCCCAUAGACUGUAGCCUGCCAGGCUCUUCUGUCCAUGGAAUUCUCCAGGCCAGAAUACUGGAGUAGGUAGCCAUGCCCUUCUCCAGGGGAUCUUUCUGACCCAGAGAUGGAACCCAGAUCUCCCACAUUGCAGGUGGAUUCUUUACUGUCUGAACCACCAGGGAAGCCCCUGUUAUUUCCCUUUUAAAAGUUAAUAGCUUUACAAAAAACAGCAGACACAAUUCAUGUUUUGUUAUAGAAGUUUUAAAAAAUGUAGAAAAAUAUCAUGUAUCACCCGCAAUCUCCCUAUCCAAAGAUAAGCACCUUUAAUGUUGUAUAAUAUUUCUUGCCAGUCCUUCAUAUAUAUAUACAUUUUCUAAGAAAAUUCAGAUGCUUAUAUCUGUGGUUUCACUAUCCAAAGAUAAGCACCUUUAAUGUUGUAUACUAUUUCUUGCCAGUCCUUCAUAUAUAUAUACAUUUUCUAAGAGAAUUCAGAUGCUUAUAUCUGUGGUUUUAAAUCUACUAAAUUUAGCAUCUUGGCUUUUUUCAUGUUAGUAAAUAUUCUUUGAAGUAAGAUUUUUAUUAGUCAUAUAUCGGAUGGAUAUAUUAUCAUACAGAGUCAGACAUCUUAGUCGUUUUCGCUUAAAAAAAUUAUAAAUGACUGCAACAACCAUGUUUUCAGAUAAAUCUUUUAUUAUUUUCGUAGGACAGAUUCCGAGAAGUAGCAUUUCAGGAUCAAAAGGUAUGAAUGUUUUUAAAGCUCUUGAUGUUUACUGCCUUCAAAAAGGCUGGUGCAGUUUGUACCAGGGAUGCUUGAGAUCCAGUUUUUUUCACACCCUCCAUCCAGGUGGGCAUUGCAUGCGUACCUUGUCAGUCAGAUCACUGCAUUCUCCUGCUGCAGCUCUCCUAGUCUGAGAAAGCUCCUGUUGCUCUUCCUCCCCAGGGGAUCUCAGACCAACCACAGGGUAUUCAGGAGAAAGCACUGCUCAUUCUUUCACGCCCCCAUUCAGCGAGCAAGUUGUGCAGAGCAGUAAGUAAGUGUGCUAAGGUAGGUGCGUGAGGCCCUGCCCUUGCAAUAGGGAGGUGAACUGUAACUGGACACUUUGAGUACCAAGUUUGGGCCCAGGCUGGGGCAUCUGAUUACUUGGCAGGAGCAGCUCCAGGGAGGGUUUAACACCAGCCUGAGAAUCGCCCAGGGACUGUCUCAAAAUGCAGAUCCCUGGACCUUUGGCCAGAAUGAAACAGGAUCUGCAUUGGAAGUUAGCACCCUAACAUAGUGUUUAAGAGCACAGAACCUGACCACCUCAGUCCAAGGAUGACUUUGAACUUAUCACUUUUAAAAUCUUUUUUUCUCAUCUGUAAAAUGAGAAAUAACGGCAGUACAGUAAGUGCCCUGCAUCGAACAAGUUCUGUUCCAAGAGGCCAUAAAUCCAGUUUGUUCUUAAGUCCAACAAAGUUAGCCUAGGUACCCAACUAACACAAUUGGCUAUAUAGUACUAUGCUGUAAGAGGUGUAUAAUACUUUUCACACAAAUAAUACAUAAAAAGGAAACAGAAAAUUUUUAAUCUUACAGUACAGUACCUUAAAAAGUACACCAGACAUGUGAACUCACGCUACCGGGCUUGCGAACUCAUGUUCGAAUCUCUGAAAGUGUGCAGGUUGAAGGCUGGUCCGUAGGAGACUGACUGUCCCUCGUUCCUGACUUGUGUUUAGCACACAGUGAGGGCUCAGCAGCUUCUCUGCCGCCACCCUUCAGGUGGCCUGGGCCACAUUGCCAAACAGCAUCUCCAGCAUCUUUCAGCUUUCUGAAAGUCCUAAGCCAUGCCCUCAGAUGCUGGGAGCCCCAGAAAGUGCCUCCAGCUGUCCCCACCUCCUCCAGGGCUAGAGGGCUGUGAUUAGGAUGCCUUUGCUCCAACCCAAGACCAGCUCUUCUGGCUGCAACCCCUCCCUGUCCUGCUUUUCUGGGGGUCCCAGGCAGCGUCCACGGAGAGAAGGAAAUCUGUUCAGGGAGCAUUUGUUUUCUGCUGAGGAGGCCAUACAUUACAUGUGGUGGUUGGCAAAGCAUGUUUUGUAGUUUUCUGACUUUUCUCCCUCUGCACUGCAGUUUCACAUGGAAGGGAUAUAGUCUGUUUUUAAAUGUGCUCUCCCUGGGUGUGUCCACAGACUUUGGGAGGCAGACGUGUUUUCCUGGGAUUUGGUGACUGGCUGAAGAAAUGGAAACUGGAAAGGACUUAACUCUUACUUGAUCGUGGAUCCCCUGCUUUUCUCUUCCUACCUGCCCUGUAGCUCCCUUUCUCCUUCAAGAAGCAUCUUAGCCUCUUAUUUGUCCAGCCCCCUCGUGCUUUGCUCUAGGGACUGAGGCAGCCUGGCUGCUGGCAGCUGUGGUUCUGAAGGGUGAGCUCGCCUCUGCCCUGGGGGCCGCAGCCCUCCCGUUUAGAUGCAGGAAUUCCUGACCCACUCCUCCAGUCACUGUGAAGAUAAAUCCCAGGGCCUCUAAAGGCGUGGGAAGAACAGAAGGAGGGAGAUGGUAACUAAAUUAUUAAUUCACAGCCCAGACAAAACAAAGUAUUGAAAGAGCUGCUACACUGUUCCAGAUAGGGUGUCCUAAUUUAGCUUGAGGUGCAGCCUGCUAGCUCUGUGUUCAGUGACGCUCUUUCAGUAAGAAUGGACUCAGCGUUGCCACAGGGUCAGUGAGGGCAUCUCCUGGGCCCAGGCAGGUGUAUGUUUAGGAUUUAUCUAGCGGGGCCCACCCUUGCAGAGGAAUGCUUUAGAGUUUUUCUGCCUGGGUCUCUGUUAGGUAAUCUCUUUCAUUACUGUUACCAUAGAUGAAGGACGCUAAGAACUUCCCAAGGUCUCACAGCCCGUCCCCUCUAAUUGGGCUCUUGGGUAGACUCUGCUGGUCCCAAGGUCCGAGUGCUGAGAAGCAGAUCCGUCUCCUGGGUCCUGGGCAGCACCGCUCCUGGGGUCUCCGGGGAAGAGGCAGGAGGGCUCAGCCGGCCCUCUGCUCCCACACAGCACACUCUGGUCACAUCCCUCCUUAAUUCAGAAACCUUGGCUGCCCCCUCCCGCCGCUAGCUUCAGCUCCUCCUCCCCGGCCGGGCCCCCACGCCCCUCCCUCUGAUGCUCCCACCUCCUGUCGCUGCCUCCGUGGUCCCCACACUUCAGCCACCUCAGCCUGCUGGGUGUUUCAGAAUUUCAGCCAAGGCCCCCAUUCCGCCGUCUGUUUACGAGGUUACUUCCAGGUGCCCACCUACUGCAGCCUCUGCCUGGCAAGAUAUUCCUAACCUUUGUGCCUCGUCUCAUGUCCCUCUUCCUCCUAAAGACUUGAGACGUUGAUAGAUUGCCCCCCCCCCCCCCCCCUACUCUUAACUCCAGUAGCACAGCAUCUUCGUCACCUCUCCUGGAAGUGACCUUAUUUUGCUUCCUACUGAUGUCACUACUGCUGUCCCUCCUAUACGUGUCGUUUCUCUGCUGAAGCCAGGGGAGCUUAGCUUGCUCAUUUUGAAUUCCCUGUAAGAGCUACGGGGAAGCCUGUAAGGGCCCGAGUCGGUGAGUAGGAUCAGGCUCUGCCAUGGGCCUGGACUUGGGGAUGGAGCUGAAGUCCAGCUGGAAGUAAUGCAGGCCACGGCCUGGGACACUGUCUUCAAAACAAAGCCUCAGAGCCUCUGCCAAGAUGAGCAGAACUGGCUGCCUCAGUGGAAGGAACCUGCCUGCCUUCUCCACUUGAAAAUUAUAGGGACUUCCCUGGUGGUCCAGUGAUUAAGACUUAGCCUUCCAGUGCAGGGGGUGUGGGUUUGAUCCCUGGUCAGGGAACUAAGAUCCUGCAUGCCUUGUGGCCCCCUCCCCCCAAAAAACCAAAACAUGCAACAGAAGCAAUAUUGUAAUAAAUUCAAUAAAGACUUUCGAAAUGGUCCAUAUAUUAAAGAAAGACAAUAUAGAAAUAGAGUAAAAAUGAUCAUAAAUUCUGAAGGCAACUGACAUGGAGAUGAACACUGAGACGAGAACAGACCUGACUGUUCCUACUGGCGUGAGUCUUCCCCAGGGUCCCAGGAGGCAGGUGAUGGGGCAGCUGGCCCGGCUGGUGGCUCAGCUGGCCCGGCUGGUGGCUCAGCUGACCUGCCCAGGGUGUUGGUAGGGGUUCGGGCUGCCCCAGCGUCCACAUGGUUCUGCUGAAUCCCCACACCUCUCAGGGCAGUGCAGUGGUUUUUCCUGUGGGUCCUGCCCUCGGCUAUACUUCCCCAACACACACACACACACACACACACAC